CAAAGAAGAAGGAGUCUAACCUCCGCCCCUAACUCCCAAAGCUAGGGUUCUAACUUAAACUAUUCUUUG
rnacentral:tRNA from 1 species